UACGAAGGGUGCAAACGUUGCUCGGAAUUAUUGGGCGUAAAGCGCACGUAGGCGGCUUUGCAAGUCGGAUGUGAAAGCCCCGGGCUCAACCUGGGAACUGCAUUUGAAACUGGCGGGCUUGAGUGUGGCAGAGGGGGGUGGAAUUCCGCGUGUAGCAGUGAAAUGCGUAGAGAAUGCGGAGGAACACCGAUGGCGAAGGCAGCCCCCUGGGCCAACACUGACGCUCAGGCACGAAAGCGUGGGGAGCAA
rnacentral:rRNA from 1 species